rnacentral:rRNA from 1 species
GACGAACGCUGGCGGCGUGCUUAACACAUGCAAGUCGAACGGAAAGGCCCUGCUUUUGUCGGGUGCUCGAGUGGCGAACGGGUGAUUAACACGUGAGUAACCUGCCCUUGACUUUGGGAUAACUUCAGGAAACUGGGGCUCAUACCGGAUAGGAGCUCCUGCUGCAUGGUGGGGGUUGGAAAGUUUCGGCGGUGGGGGAUGGACUCGCGGCUUAUCAGCUUGUUGGUGGGGUAGUGGCUUACCAAGGCUUUGACGGGUAGCCGGCCUGAGAGGGUGACCGGCGACCUUGGGACUGAGAUACGGCCCAGACUCCUACGGGAGGCAGCAGUGGGGAAUAUUGCACAAUGGGCGGAAGCCUGAUGCAGCAACGCCGCGUGCGGGAUGACGGCCUUCGGGUUGUAAACCGCUUUCGCCUGUGACGAAGCGUGAGUGACGGUAAUGGGUAAAGAAGCACCGGCUAACUACGUG